rnacentral:lncRNA from 1 species
GUUAUUACUUGUUUGUAUUUAUAUCUCCCAUCUAGACUGUCAUUUACCUGUAGUUAGGGACCACAGAUUCUCAUUUUUAUUUCCACAGUUUCUGAAAAAGUGUGUGAAGCAUGCUCAGAAUCAAUAAGCUUCCACUUAAUAAAUGAGAAAGGAGUGAACUCAUCAGAAUCCCAGAGAUUGCUGAAAAAAAUUACCACGGUCGAGAAUCUGCUGCAUCAAAGCUCUGGUGGAAUAAACAGGGGAAGAAAAAUCUCAAAGGUUCACAGCCAGGUUUUAGAGAUGAAGGGCAGGAUGCUGGGCUGUACUCCUGCACAAACUUUCAACUUGUGCACUUGGAAAGCUGUGUUCUUUCCAUCAAAGGGCAGAGACUCUAACAGGUAGGAACUUUGACUUGCACUGUACAACAGAGCUGCCAAGGAUGAUGUCAUGACCCUUGUAAACGUC